rnacentral:rRNA from 1 species
CCCUUAGAUGUCCGGGGCCGCACGCGCGCUACACUGAAGGAAUCAGCGUGGCUUUCUCCCUGUCCCGAAAGGGUUGGGAAACCCGUUGAAUCUCCUUCGUGAUAGGGAUUGGGGCUUGAAAUUGUUCCCCAUGAACGAGGAAUUCCCAGUAAGCGCGAGUCAUAAGCUCGCGUUGAUUACGUCCCUGCCCUUUGUACACACCGCCCGUCGCUACUACCGAUUGAACGGUUUAGUGAGGGCCUCGGAUUGGUCUCGGCCCGCUCUUCACCGGGCGGCGCCGUUGGUCGAGAAGACGCUCGAACUUGAUCGUUUAGAGGAAGUAAAAGUCGUAACA